GGUGUAAUGGUUAGCACACUCGAUUCAUAUUCGAGAAUUUCCAAGUUCGAAUCCCGG
rnacentral:tRNA from 1 species